CUCAGGAUGAACGCUGGCGGCGUGCCUGACACAUGCAAGUCGAGCGAUGAGGCUCCCUUCGGGGAGUACAUCAGCGGCGAACGGGUGAGUAACACGUAGGUGACCUGCCCCGAAGACGGGGAUAACUUCUGGAAACAGAGGCUAAUACUCGAUGCACUCAAUAGUUCGUUCUAUUGAGUAAAGCUUAGGCGCUUUGGGAUGGGCCUGCGGUCCAUCAGCUAGUUGGUAGGGUAAUGGCCUACCAAGGCGAAGACGGAUAGGGGGCGUGAGAGCGCGACCCCCCACACUGGCACUGAGACACGGGCCAGACUCCUACGGGAGGCAGCAGUGAGGGAUAUUGCGCAAUGGACGGAAGUCUGACGCAGCGACGCCGCGUGGGUGAUGAAGGCCUUCGGGUUGUAAAGCCCUUUUAUGGGGGAAGAGAAAGGACGGUACCCCAUGAAUAAGCCCCGGCUAACUACGUGCCAGCAGCCGCGGUAAAACGUAGGGGGCAAGCGUUAUCCGGAUUUACUGGGCGUAAAGAGCGUCGAGGCGGUUCUGUAAGUUGGGCGUGAAAGCCCCGGGCUCAACCCGGGGAUGUCGUUCAAUACUGCAGGGCUUGAGGGCAGCAGAGGGAGGUGGAAUUCCCGGUGUAGCGGUGAAAUGCGUAG
rnacentral:rRNA from 1 species